UCGAGGGGCAUCGGGAUUGAAGCUUGCUUCAAUUGCCGGCGACCGGCGCACGGGUGCGUAACGCGUAUGUAACCUACCUAUAACAGGGGCAUAACACUGAGAAAUUGGUACUAAUUCCCCAUAAUAUUCGGAGAGGCAUCUCUCCGGGUUGAAAACUCCGGUGGUUAUAGAUGGACAUGCGUUGUAUUAGCUAGUUGGUGAGGUAACGGCUCACCAAGGCAACGAUACAUAGGGGGACUGAGAGGUUAACCCCCCACACUGGUACUGAGACACGGACCAGACUCCUACGGGAGGCAGCAGUGAGGAAUAUUGGUCAAUGGACGCAAGUCUGAACCAGCCAUGCCGCGUGCAGGAAGACGGCUCUAUGAGUUGUAAACUGCUUUUGUACGAGGGUAAACUCACCUACGUGUAGGUGACUGAAAGUAUCGUACGAAUAAGGAUCGGCUAACUCCGUGCCAGCAGCCGCGGUAAUACGGAGGAUUCAAGCGUUAUCCGGAUUUAUUGGGUUUAAAGGGUGCGUAGGCGGUUUGAUAAGUUAGAGGUGAAAUCCCGGGGCUUAACUCCGGAACUGCCUCUAAUACUGUUAGACUAGAGAGUAGUUGCGGUAGGCGGAAUGUAUGGUGUAGCGGUGAAAUGCUUAGAGAUCAUACAGAACACCGAUUGCGAAGGCAGCUUACCAAACUAUAUCUGGCGUUGAGGCACGAAAG
rnacentral:rRNA from 1 species